rnacentral:rRNA from 1 species
CAGCCAUCAUUUAAAGAAAGCGUAAUAGCUCACUGGUCGAGUCGGCCUGCGCGGAAGAUGUAACGGGGCUAAACCAUGCACCGAAGCUGCGGCAGCGACGCUUAUGCGUUGUUGGGUAGGGGAGCGUUCUGUAAGCCUGUGAAGGUGUACUGUGAGGUAUGCUGGAGGUAUCAGAAGUGCGAAUGCUGACAUAAGUAACGAUAAAG